rnacentral:lncRNA from 1 species
UUGAAAAUCCAAUUAUGUAGAGUGUGCCUUGAUAUUUCAUCAAAUUCCAAUAUUCUUGUUUGUGUCACCCGUGAGGCAGAUGGGAAAUUAUUUUAUCCGAAUUUUGGUUUUGUCUCACCCACAAAGCAAAAAUAGUUAUGUUGGGAAGACGUAGGGUGGUAACAAGGGUGUGAGGCGAAAGUGUCAAACUUUGUGUCAUACUUUAGUAGUUUUCACUCAUUUUUGUUGAGACAUGAGUUUUCUAGAAAAAGAAGAUUGAAGAGACAAAAAGAGGAAUUCUUAAAGAUUCAUAUUAUAAGAGUUAGGAUGCUCUUUGGUUGUAAUAUAAA